UACGUAGGGUGCGAGCGUUGUCCGGAAUUAUUGGGCGUAAAGAGCUCGUAGGCGGUGUGUCACGUCGGCCGUGAAAACCUGCAGCUUAACUGUGGGCGUGCGGUCGAUACGGGCAUCACUGGAGUUCGGCAGGGGAGACUGGAAUUCCUGGUGUAGCGGUGAAAUGCGCAGAUAUCAGGAGGAACACCGGUGGCGAAGGCGGGUCUCUGGGCAACAACUGACGCUGAGGAGCGAAAGCGUGGGGGAGCGAACAGG
rnacentral:rRNA from 1 species